CUCUUCUGGAGGGAUCCCCAGGCGUUCCCAGGCCAGCCGAGAGACGUAGUCUCUCCAGCGUUUCCUGGGUCGUCCCCGGGGUCUCCUCCCGGUGGGACGUGUCCGGAACACCUCACCAGGGAGGCGUCCAAGAGGCAUCCUAAUCAGCUGCUCCAGCCACCUCAUCUGGUUCCUCUUAAUGUGGAGGAGCAGCGGCUCUACUCUGAGCACCUCCCUGAUGACCGAGCUUUUCACCCUAUCUCUAAGGGAGGGCCCGGACACCCUGCGGAGGAAACUCAUUUCGGCCGCUUGUAUCCGGGAUCUUGUUCUUUCGGUCACGACACACAGCUCGUGACCGUAGGUGAACAUAGAUCGACCGGUAAAUGAGCCAGCUUCUGUAGCAAGAUGCGGAUUCAGCACGUUCGGAAAUCUUACAGUGGGCCCACAACUCAAAAUUAACUUGUCACCCUGGCAUCACCCGUACUACCCAGUUCAUUCAACAGCACUUCUGGUGGCCCAGCCUCAUCAAAGACACCCGAGAGUUCGUUCAAGCCUGCUCCGUCUGCGCCCGAGGGAAGUCUUCUCACCGACCUCCAGCUGGCCUGCUGUGCUCCUUGCCAGUUCCCAGCCGCCCUUGGUCUCACAUCGCCGUGGACUUCGUUACCGGCCUGCCCCCCUCAGAAGUCUCCGAUCGAGGUCCCCAGUUUUCCUCUCGGGUCUGGAAGGAAUUCUGCAAGAAAACAGCCAGCUUAUCCUCUGGGUAUCACCCGCAGACCAACGGCCAGACGGUUCGGGCCAACCAAUACCUGGAAUCGGCACUCCGCUGUGUGGCCGCCCGCAACCCCUCCUCGUGGAGUUCCUUCCACCCAUGGAUUGAAUACGCUCAUAAUUCCCUGAUGGAAAUGUUUUAUCUAUUAUCGCAUAAAAACACAUUGUUGCUGUGACUGCAUUAAGAUGAUUAUUACCCUUGUUCACUGGAAACGAGCAGUUUGGAAAAGUACUACAAUGCAGAUUCCACAAGGCACAAACCCCUACACCUCCAGGCACUGACCACAUCUUGAUAACAAACAAUUCCUUAAAAGGUCAUGGAAUGUGAUACCACCUACUCGAGCCUUAAUAAAAAGAGCUGCGCAAGCACAGGCAUCUCAGAGGAGUUGGGAGAGAUAAGCGCGGUGCUUGUUCUUGUCGCUGCUCUCACUUUGCAAAAUUACAUCACUCAAGUUGUGAUUCUUAUUUCUGUCUCCUUCCUUGGUGUGAACGUGUUGGUUAAAAUAACCCUGACAUUCCCUCACCAGCUCCGCUACCAGUAUGUCCCCAUUCAUGGCUUUCUACGGUUUCCAACCUCCACUGUUCGACCUACAGGAGCAGGCGGUGGCACUUCCCUCCAUACAAGAUCACCUCCAGAGAGUCCAGGCGGAAGGACGUCCAGGCAAUGCUGAACCGGUCCGCGGCACGCAACAAGCAGCUCGCAGACCGUCUUCGCUCCCCGACGCCCGAAUACAAGGUGGGGCAAUCCGCCUGGCUCUCUUCCCACGACCUUCUCCUUCAGAGUCCCGUAAAAUCACUCCACGCUUCAUUGGUCCUUUUCCCAUCACCAAGAUCAUUAAUACCACUUCCAUCCAGUUAAAAUUUCCACAAUCCCUAAAGAUUCAUCCCACAUUCCACAUCUCCUUGCUGAAGCCUGUCUCCACCUGCGCCCUGGGUCGUCCGGCUGAGCCCCCUCCCCCCCCCCGGACUAUUGGAGACCAUCCGGCCUUCACGGUGUCGCGUAUCCUCGACGUGUGGCCUAGGGCGAGAGGGUUCCAGUACCUGGUCGACUGGGAAGGGUACGGGCCGGAGGAGCGGUCUUGGAUUUCCCGGAAGCUUACACCCGAUCAUACCCUUUUGGACGACUUCUACGCGGCUCACCCGGGGAAGCCUGGCAGGACGCCAGGAGGCAUCCGUUGAGAGGGGGAUACUGUCAUAUACUGCUCUGCAGUUCCAUUAUAGUAACCUAGAGGGCGCUUUGCGUCCUCUCUCUCCGCCCUCCCCUCUUUGUUUUCAGCACCUGUCUCCAAUUAGCCUCAUCACCACCGGGAUUUAAGUCUGCCUGUUCCAGGAAAUCCUCGCCAAAGUAUUGCAGCCUCUCCUAGCGUGCUCCCCUGUUUCCUGACCCACCUCAUUCUUGCCAACCAGCCAGCCGCCUGCUCUGUCCACUGCCUGCCACUUUUCCAUGCCGCCGCCUGCCAACACAUCCAGGACCACCUCCAUAACCUUUCCUCAAUAAACCGUUCAUCAUUUUCCAUCUACCUCUGCCUACUGUUGGGUCCAGCUACUCCCCACACAUGACAGCCUGUUGCCCUCACAAUCGCUUCCUGUGACUCCACCAUAUGCACUGAAAAAAAAAAAAAAAAAGAGUCCUUUGAAUGUAUUUAAUGUGAACAUGUACAUCGGUGGCGGCACGGUGGCCAACUGGUAAGAGCGUCAGCGUCACAGUUCUGAGGACCCGGGUUCGACCCCCGGCCCCGCCUGUGUUGAGUAUGCAUGUUCUCCCUGCGCCUGCAUGGGUUUUCUCCGGGCACUCCGGUUUCCUCCCACAUCCCAAAAACAUGCAUAAAUUGGAGACUCUAAAAAUUGCCCGUAGGUGUGCAUGUGAGUGCGAAUGGUUGUCUGUUUGUAUGUGCCCUGCGAUUGGCUGGCAACCAGUUCAGGGUGUACCCCGCCUCCUGCCCGAUGAUAGCUGGGAUAGGCUCCAGCACGCCCGCGACCCUAGUGAGGAGAAGCGGCUCAGAAAAUGGAUGGAUGGAUGUACAUCGGUUGCGCGUGGAUGAAUCCUCCGUGUCUGUGACACCAUAGAGACACCAGGGAAUGUUGACGAAUCCCCUGAACAUGUAUCGCG